GGGGUUGUGUCUCAGUGGUAGAGCACUCGCCUAGCAUGUGUGGGGCUCUGGGUUCAAUCCCCAGCACCA
rnacentral:tRNA from 1 species